rnacentral:lncRNA from 1 species
AUGGCAGCAAACUUCUAUGCUGGGCUCUGCCAAGCUUCCUGCUCCACCCACCCCCUCCUCCAGGUGUGCUCCCAGCUCCCCCAAUCACUGUGCUCCACCAAUGCUGCUGGGUUGUGCUCCAUGGGCAUCUCACAGCAGCGAGGGCAGCGCCCCCACCCCCCCAAAACUGGACCUCCCACUUCUCACCCAGAAGGGAAGAGGCGGCAAAUCAGAGGUUGGGGAAUUCGCAGCUGGGUGGGUGACCUCCCCCCAGGUGCCCCCUCUUAUCCAGGGUGGGGCUGGGGCUUGCGUGGCAGUGCCCAGUGGGCACCCUGCCCCGCCCAGGCCCCGCCUAAAGGACCCAAACGGGCGGGCCCUGGAGGCCCAGCUGUAGCAUCCUCGGGGCGGUCAGGGCCCCUCCCCGUAGGGAGGGCAGAAAAUGUGCUGCCUCACCAGCCACCACCGCCAGCCCGGGGGGGGGGGGGGGGGGCACCCCUGCGGGAAGACGCCCCACCUCAUCCUUCUAUUCCCCCUGCGCCAUGCACUUUAACCAAGUUUUGCAAAGGGCAUUGGCCAGGCGGCCACAGCCCGUCGGGCGGGGGCUCCGUGUCCUCCCAGACCCCGGGUCUGGAGAAGAAGGGCCGUGUGGCCGCGCCCACCAGGCUCAGCUCUCCCCAUCCCCCGCGCGGGGCCUGGGAGCCCAGAGCCCUGCGGCGCGUCCAGCCGCCCAGCGCUGCCCUUGGAAGGAGCGACGGGCGGCUCCCUAGCAUCUGUGCCGAAACCCCGUUAGGGGCACCGAGGGCGCUCGGGAUGCCUCCACCGAGGGGACCCGCAGCUCGGGAAGGGUUCCCCAACGCCGGCAGCGCCCCCUCCUCGCUUGCAGGCGACGGGGAAGUUGGGGCGGGGGGUGCACCCAGAACGAGCUCCCGCUCACGCCCACCCGCCGGGCCCCGACCCCUUCGGCCUCCCCUCACGCCCCGACAAUGCCUCCGGGUCGGCCGCCCGGCUCCGGACCAGGCCCGGGGCUACCGCCGCCUCCCGCAAUCCCUCGGUCCUUUGUUGCCCGGCGAGCCCCCUCCCUCGGGGUUCGUCCGGCUGUUCCUACCUUCGCCCCUCCAGCAGCAGGCGGAGCGGCGGGCGGCGGGGGCGCCCGACCCCCGUCCUCUCCCGGCGCCGGGGCACCGGCGGGGGCAGAGGAUGCUGCGGCUCCCCCUCCCCGCGCGCCGCUGCCCACCGCCUGCAGCCCCUCCCGGCACCGGGGUUCCGCGUUCGCGCUCCGGGUCCGGGCCUCGCGCGCCGCGUGUGCGGCCGGCUGGGCGGCGGCAGGAAAGCGGGGAGGCGCUGAGCCGGGCAGCCCUGGCCGCCGCCUGCGCUCCCAGCGGCGGAGCCCGAGCCGAGCAGAGCGGGAGCGGAGCGAGCGGCCCGGCUCCGGGAGGGAACAAAAGGGGCAGGCGCUGGGGCGGGCGCGGGAGGGCGGGGCCUGGCGCGGCGGGGGUCAGGCGGGCGCUCGCGCGGCCUCGCGUUUCUCAGGCUGCGGCGCCGCGCCGCAAGGGGGCGGGCGGGCGGAAAACGCCCCGGCACCUCGUCCACCGGCUCCUAGAGGCGGUCAGUGGCUGGGAGUCCGAGGCGUGCCAGCCCCGCACCUCGGCGCCGGGCACCCAUCGGCGCUUCCAUCGUGUGUGA